GCAAUUCCACCUCUGUAUCCCCCUACCACAAUAAAACAGGCUACGUAAGCAGUGCUUAUUUAAGGCCGACACUGAUUUGAACUUUUACUUCACCUGCUGAAAAGAUAUGCAAUUGUAUAAAAGGAGCUAUCAAAAUGAGUAAUUUAACAAAGUGACUACUGAGCACACUGUAUGAUCAAUUCCUUACAUCUUUCAGCACCACGGCCCUUCGAGGCACUGGCGGGCCACCGGCCGCUGUUUGCGGGUGGAACGCACCUAGCUAAAUGAGAAAUGGGAAAAUGGCAUUACUACCACACAACUCGGAUAGCUUUCUAUCUGAGCGAUGACAGUAAAACAAAGUUUCAUGCAUGAUAAGCGGUAUGAUUUUUAAGUAUAGAUUUUUCUUUUCUAAACUUUAUUCCAAUAUAGGUCACCUUUAUCCAAUACCAUUGUAAGAUGUUUAAUGACUGAUUCCAAUGUAAGCUAUAGAAAAUAAUGUCACAGAGAAAGAGGUUUUAGUAUUUUGUGUUUGUGUUUUUAUAGAAUUGCUGCAACCAUUAUAAGAGAGGGUUUCUGCAAACUGUGCCAGUCAAGGGGUUAAAUUUGAAUUAUAAUUCAACAUUUUUAAUUAUAAUUUAAUUCAAAUUAAAUUAUAACUUACUUCUUUGACCAAGCCCUGAACAGUCAGCAGCGUCGUCUCCUCGACCUCUGCCAUCUCCCGCAGAGGGACGAGCAUUGACUCGGGACAUAUUAAGCCCCGAGCCUCUGCCUCCAGGUGGGCGGGGACUUGGACCGGGGCAGCAAUGUAGGCCACGGUCUGAUGCCUUGUCAGCAUUGUUCUACUUCUAAUAUCCCCGUAACUGCUCCACCCAAAAUUUUUUAUCCUGUAAGACUUCCCCUCCUCUAUCCCCUUAGCCAAUUCCUCAAACAUUAUAAAUUUAGUUGCCCUCUUCCCAUCAGACACCCCAGCGGCAUAGUUGGUCAGUGUGGUGACGGCCAAUGCCUCCUCCUCUGAGAUGUUCCACUCCUUCACCUUUAUCGUCUCUCGCAGAAUCACCACUUUGAAGGUGUCGGUGUACAGCUUCUCUGUUCUUUUGUUGAAAGCCAUUUUCUGAAAAUACAUACAAGAGAAAAAAAACAGUUUUUAGAGGCAAGUUUAAUAUUCAAGCUAAGAUUAAAUAAGUAAAAGCACACCCUAGUAGCAUAUAAAGUUAAAGAACGACCCAGAUAAUAAAGAUAUCACGUUGUUGUCCCCUCCUGCCAACAGAGGGCGCCCCCCUCUUUUCGCGUCUAUUUAAGAGGUGAAAUGAUGCUGUUACAGAAGUUCCGGAGUUACUGCUGCAGACAGUGCGUGCAUGCUGCAUGGGAGCACGACGGUCUUAUCCAACGGCCCUUUUAACGUCCAUCGCAAGCAGCUGUGUUCAGUAUUUUAAGUGACUCCUGAAGUUAGUUUAUUUGCUCUGUGCUUACAAUUCCAAACAACGGUUGGUAAAGGCUACUGUUAACAUUAGCAUAGAUAAGACUAGCUCCGUUGAAGUAGGCCAGUUAGACCUCCCCCGUCCACGAGGCAGACGCUAACGGAGCAUAGCAUGUGGCGCAUUCCGCAAAGAUAACUAAGACAGAUCUUGCUUGCAUCAAAUGCUGCUUUGAGGGUCACUCAACACGGAUGCUUCCUGUUGCAUCCAGGAGGCCACCGGACCACUCACCACAGGAGCUGAUGCACAUUCUUCAGCUGAACUUUACACCGUUGUCCCACCAUCCACUGAAUUGAACACCAUUCAGACUCAUGGCUGUAUCAGCAGUGACAUGCGUGUGGUGUGUAGAGACUCCAACGGUUGUGUCAGUGUUCUCUCGCUGACGGCGCCGGGGCUAGAGACCACGGCCCAGUGGAAGGCUCUGAGGCCUGGAUCACAGUCAUCUCCUUCUAGGACACCCAGCUGCUCUACUCAGCAAGCUGAAAGGCUGGGACCCCAGGAUGGAGCUCUCCUCUCCCACUUUCACCAGCAAGAGAAGAUGCUGCUGCUGCUGCUGCUGCCUCAGCACUACACUUCCAGACGGUCUGUCCAAAGGCUGCAUCCCACAUGGCCGGUGGAACUACGUGCUCUUUAGCACAGGGGUCCAGGACCUCCUUGUCCCCGUCUGGGAGGGUCCUGAACCCCACGGCCUGGACCCCCUUGGGGGAGGGGGGAAUUAAUUUGGCCUUUUCAAAUUGAAAUAAUAAAUGGAAAGGCAUGGCUUGGACAAUCUCUCCAAAGGCUAAUGCCUCCUUUGGGGUCAUUUAAUAACUGGAGGAGAGACCUUAGCUGCUCCUUCUGGCCCGCAUAUGCAUGGCGCUUAUAGGGAGGCCAACCUCUAGCUGUGAGGUUGGCCUCCCGGGAGAUACCAAGGCCCGGGUCUCUGCCUCCAGGGCGUACACAAACAAGCGUGUCUUGUUGACUGGAGGAGAGUCCAUAGCUGCUACUUUGGCCCGCAUAUGCAUGGCGCUUAUAGGGAGGCCAACCUCUAGCUGUGAGGUUGGCCUCCCGGGAGAUACCAAGGCCCGGGUCUCUGCCUCCAGGUGGGGGCGGGGACUUGUACAGGGUCAGUGAUGCAUGUUUCUGUUGCAUGUUGUUUCAUGUUUUGUUGGUUUUAAUAAAUCCAGUUUUCUGACUAAA